rnacentral:rRNA from 1 species
UACGUAGGGGGCGAGCGUUGUCCGGAUUUAUUGGGCGUAAAGAGCUCGUAGGCGGUUCGGUAAGUCGGAUGUGAAAUCUCCACGCUCAACGUGGAGGGGCCAUUCGAUACUGCCGUGACUCGAGUCCGGUAGGGGAGUGUGGAAUUCCCGGUGUGAGCGGUGGAAAUGCGCAGAGAUCGGGAGGAACACCCGUAGCGAAGGCGGCACUCUGGGCCGGUACUGACGCUGAGGAGCGAAAGCGUGGGGAGCGAACAGG